AACGAACGCUGGCGGCAUGCCUAACACAUGCAAGUCGAACGAGACCUUCGGGUCUAGUGGCGCACGGGUGCGUAACGCGUGGGAACCUGCCCUUAGGUUCGGCAUACCUCCCCGAAAGGGGUGCUAAUACCGGAUAAUGUCUUCGGACCAAAGAUUUCUCGCCUUUGGAUGGGCCCGCGUUGGAUUAGCUAGUUGGUAGGGUAAAAGCCUACCAAGGCGACGAUCCAUAGCUGGUCUGAGAGGAUGAUCAGCCACACUGGGACUGAGACACGGCCCAGACUCCUACGGGAGGCAGCAGUGGGGAAUAUUGGACAAUGGGCGAAAGCCUGAUCCAGCAAUGCCGCGUGAGUGAUGAAGGCCUUAGGGUUGUAAAGCUCUUUUACCCGGGAUGAUAAUGACAGUACCGGGAGAAUAAGCUCCGGCUAACUCCGUG
rnacentral:rRNA from 1 species